CACCUCCGGCGAGCAGCUGACUCACUCUGGACAUCCUGGGAAGAUCCGACAGCAGCAAGGCAACAGGAGCAUCUUCACGGGAGGCCCGGGAUUCCCAACGGGCGGCACGGGUCGGGCAGCCGGGAGGGCACCGGGCACGGCGCGCCAGCAGCGUGGGAAGGCGGGGAGAGCAGCAGCCGCGCCCGGGGGUGCAGCGAUCAUCGGCAGGUGACCCCGGCGCUCCCCAGGAGAGCGCGGAGCCGGGGCGGAGGCACGGCACCCCCAGCGCCCCAAACGAGCAGGCGGAGCGCACCGCCGCCAGCACCUCCCCGGCCCCGGAGCCGCCGCCCGGCCCGAGGCAGGUGGCACGGCGCGGCCCCGGGCCUCCGGCGUGCAGCCGGGCUCGGCCUCGCCGGCUCCGGGUCCCGCCGAGCGGCAGCAGCAGGCCGGGGCUCCGCAUCCCCCGAGCCGCGCCGCCGCCUCCCGCCCGCAGCCCUUUGUCUGCGGCCCCGCUCCGCCGCCGCCCCGCCUCGCUCGGAUCUCCGCUCGCUCCCUACCUGCAUGCCCCGCCGAGGGCCCCGCUCCGGCUCCGCUCCGCCCCGCCGCUGCCCGAGCGCCGCGCCGCCAGGCCGCCACCACCGCCGCUCGGCUCGGCCCGGCCCGGCCCGGCACUCCGCCCCGCCAGCGGCACCGCCCCCGGGCCCGCCCGGCACUCCGCCCCCCGGCAGCGGCGGCGGCGGCGGCGGCGGCGGCUCGGCCUCGCACCCGGCGCUCGGCGCCCGGCGGCGGCGCGGUGGGGUCGGGGUGGGCGCCGCUCCCCCACGGGACGGGAAGGAGCGCCGAGCCCUACCGCGCCGGGCGGUGAGCAGCCGGCGCUGCUGGCCAGACGAGUGCCCCAUCCCUGCAGGCGUUCAGGGCCUGCUGGUUGGCAGCCCUGCCCGCGGCGGGGGGUUGGAGCCCAGCAAGGUCCCCUCCAACCUAAGCCAUUCUAUGAUUCUGUGUACAGAACCCUGUGUACAGGUUUUUGUUUUUAAAUUCAGCUGUGCGAUGAUCUCCCCACAAAGGCACCGUGACACUUCACUGAGCCUGGGAUGUGUUUGA
rnacentral:lncRNA from 1 species